rnacentral:misc_RNA from 1 species
ACAUUAUUGUGAACUAAUGCAGAAAAGGCUGGAACCGCGAGCUUUAACGAUACUAUGUAA